GAUGAACGCUGGCGGCGUGCCUAACACAUGCAAGUCGAGCGAUUCUCUUCGGAGAAGAGCGGCGGACGGGUGAGUAACGCGUGGGUAACCUGCCCUGUACACACGGAUAACAUACCGAAAGGUAUGCUAAUACGAGAUAAUAUGCUUUUAUCGCAUGGUAGAAGUAUCAAAGCUCCGGCGGUACAGGAUGGACCCGCGUCUGAUUAGCUAGUUGGUAAGGUAACGGCUUACCAAGGCGACGAUCAGUAGCCGACCUGAGAGGGUGAUCGGCCACAUUGGAACUGAGACACGGUCCAAACUCCUACGGGAGGCAGCAGUGGGGAAUAUUGCACAAUGGGCGAAAGCCUGAUGCAGCAACGCCGCGUGAGCGAUGAAGGCCUUCGGGUCGUAAAGCUCUGUCAGUGGGGACGAAUAAUGACGGUACCCACAGAGGAAGCAUCGGCUAACUCCGUGCCAGCCGCCGCAGUAA
rnacentral:rRNA from 1 species